rnacentral:rRNA from 1 species
UAUCUCUGUAGAGUCUGCAUAUCAAUAAGCGGAGGAAAAGAAACUAACAAGGAUUCCCUUAGUAACGGCGAGUGAAGCGAGAAGAGCUCAAAUUUGAAAUCUUCAAGGUUCUACCUUGACGAAUUGUAGUUUAUAGAAGUGUUUUCUGUUAGUGGAGUGGCAAAAGUUCUUUGGAAUAGGACAUCAUAGAGGGUGAGAAUCCCGUAUUUGGUCAUUCCUCCUAGCGUUGUGAUACACUUUCAACGAGUCGGAUUGUUUGGGAAUGCAGUCCAAAAUGGGUGGUAAAUUUCAUCUAAAGCUAAAUAUUGGCGAGAGACCGAUAGCGAACAAGUACCGUGAGGGAAAGAUGAAAAGAACUUUGAAAAGAGAGUUAAACAGUACGUGAAAUUGUCAAAAGGGAAGCGUUUGACACCAGUGUUGUUUUCUCGAAAAUCAAUUAAAAAUGGCCGGGAUUUUGUGUUGUAUUGACUUUAUCAGCUUUCUGCACUUUUUUCUUGUCUUUUUUAAUGCACUUUUCGUUUAACAAGUCAACAUCAAUUUCUUUUGUUGUAAAAGAGUCAUUGGAAGGUGGCUUUCACUUCGGUGAAAGUGUUUAUAGCCUUUGACUUCUGCAAUCGGAGAGAUUGAGGUCUGCAGCGUAGAUCCUUCGGGGUUAGAUACAUUUGAUGCUAAGUUAUAGCCUUUUCAUAGACAACUUGUUGACUAUGAUUAAGUCAUGUAGCUUACUCGCUUAUGCGCUAUUUUACCUACGCUUAGGAUGUUGAACGCGCACAGAGUCUC